GACGAACGCUGGCGGCGUGCUUAACACAUGCAAGUCGAGCGGGGAUGCGAGCCUGAUCGCUUCGGCGUGAAGGCUAGUGUCCUAGCGGCGGACGGGUGAGUAACGCGUGGGCAACCUGCCCUCAAGACCGGGAUACCAACUCGAAAGGGUUGUUAAUACCGGAUGUGAUGGAUGGCUCGCAUGAGUUGUUCAUCAAAGGAGCGAUCCGCUUGAGGAGGGGCCUGCGUUCCAUUAGCUAGUUGGUGAGGUAGCGGCUCACCAAGGCGACGAUGGAUAGCCGGCCUGAGAGGGUGGCCGGCCACACUGGGACUGAAAUACGGCCCAGACUCCUACGGGGGGCAGCAGUGGGGAAUCUUGCACAAUGGGCGAAAGCCUGAUGCAGCAACGCCGCGUGAGGGAAGAAGGUCUUCGGAUCGUAAACCUCUGUCCAGAGGGAAGAAGGAAGUGACGGUACCUUUGGAGGAAGCCCCGGCUAACUACGUG
rnacentral:rRNA from 1 species